rnacentral:rRNA from 1 species
AUUGAACGCUGGCGGCAUGCUUUACACAUGCAAGUCGAACGGUAACAGGGUGCUUGCACCGCUGACGAGUGGCGAACGGGUGAGUAAUGCGUCGGAACGUGCCGAGUAGUGGGGGAUAACGCAGCGAAAGUUGUGCUAAUACCGCAUACGUACUGAGGUAGAAAGUGGGGGACCUUCGGGCCUCACGCUAUUCGAGCGGCCGACGUCUGAUUAGCUAGUAGGUGAGGUAAAGGCUCACCUAGGCGACGAUCAGUAGCGGGUCUGAGAGGAUGAUCCGCCACACGGGGACUGAGACACGGCCCAGACUCCUACGGGAGGCAGCAGUGGGGAAUUUUGGACAAUGGGCGAAAGCCUGAUCCAGCCAUGCCGCGUGUCUGAAGAAGGCCUUCGGGUUGUAAAGGACUUUUGUCGGGGAGGAAAUCCCCAGCGCUAAUACCGCUGGGGGAUGACAGUACCUGAAGAAUAAGCACCGGCUAACUACGUGCCAGCCGCCGCCGUAAGAC